GGAAGUAAAAGUCGUAACAAUGUCUCCGUUGGUGAACCAGCGGAGGGAUCAUUACCGAGUUUACAACUCCCAAACCCCUGUGAACUUACCAUUUGUUGCCUCGGCGGUGCCUGCUUCGGCAGCCCGCCAGAGGACCCAAACCCUUGAUUUUAUACAGUAUCUUCUGAGUAAAUGAUUAAAUAAAUCAAAACUUUCAACAACGGAUCUCUUGGUUCUG
rnacentral:misc_RNA from 1 species